AUGCUUUGGAAGCACAUAUAAUAAAAUUGGAACCAUACAGAGAAGAUUAGCAUGGCCCAUGCACAAAGAUGACAUGUAAAUUCGUGAAGAGCUUUAUUUACUU